rnacentral:lncRNA from 1 species
CAGAACUGCUCAUCACGCUUUGCAGUGGAAUUGUUGCUUGGCCUUGAGCUGUUAGCCUGGUUCAGAAGCUUCGGGUUGUGCUAUCCCAGAGGUGAACCAUGGUCUAAGUAACUGCGAGGAGAUACCAUGAACCCCUGAGUACAUGAUGAAGAAGCAAGAAGAGAAAGAAGCCAAUACAAGAAGCAUUAGUGAUCAGGCUACCUCUGGGCACAGGGUCACUCAAGUUUUGGUGUUAAUGAAUUCCACAAGAUGACCAAGCACUUCCAACUGCAAAAGAUGGAACGAUUGUUUGAUUUCAGAGAAGAAAAACUUAAUUCAAUCCGUUCCAAAAGGGAGGCAAAUUUCCAGGCUAGCAUGAGUGAAGUCAGGAGCUUCAGAUACCAUCUGACCUGGAAGUUUAUGAUGUUACAGAAUAUACUGAGAACCAUAUACCCCUGCAAGUGUCAAGAGUCAGUUUUGAUCUGCCUUAAAAUAGUAACGAAUGAUAAUGUCUCCAAAUAUUACAUCUGCCAAUAUCCAGCUGAUUUCCUUGGAAUUUUGGAGAGGUCUAAGGAGCGAAUCCACUCUUAAAGUUGUCUAUUUAUGAUUCCAAAGAGGACACAAAGGGAAGUUGUCUUCACUGCAUAAUUACUCUGGGCAACUCUGCCUGCGGAGUACCUGCCGCUUAUGAGGCCCACACAGAAAGGAGCGCAAAGCUCACAGCAAGAGCCGCCUUCUGUCUUUGUUCCAAGAAGCUGAUUGUUUCCCACUUGCUGGGCAAGCCUAUGCCCAGACUGUCUUUGCUUUCCUACUUGAAAGCAAGCCCUUGCGAAGGAAGACAUGUUGAGACUCACAGAACACACGUCUUGGAAGGAACCGUCGAGACCUCUAUGUUCAGCUUCCCCUCUUUUCUCAAAAACUGUAAAAAGUUCACUUCAGUGAGUCUGAAGCAUCGUGACAAAUAUCUCCAGCAAUAGGCUUUUACCUUCAAUAGCAACAGCAACAGGCAGUUCAAGAAGGUGCCGCGGAAAGGGACAAGCUUCCUGAUAGAUUAUCCAAGGCCAAGGGGACAGCCAUAAAUACACGUACACAUGAGCAACACUAGCCGGGUUCGGCAGGUUGUAUUAAAUACACUUACAUAUAUAUGUUCGUUCGUGUAACAGUAAGAAUUAAGGAGGACGAGGUCAUGAUUUUGAGAGGGAGUUGAGACUGAGAAACAUUGGAAGAGCUGGGUGGGGAGGAGUCAGGUGGAAGUGAUGUAAACACUCGUGAAAUUCUCAGGAAAAAAAAAAAGACUCCAGAAAAACGUUACAUUGGAAAAGAAGCAUUUUUGAAUUUCACAGUCCUUCCCUCUGACAUAGAUACUCGCUCCAUUCUUUUAACUCCAAACCAUCAUAUGUAUAGUGCAGUGUAAUGCCAGAUGAUAGAGAUUACAUCCGUGUAUGAGCCUCUC